GAUGAACGCUGGUGGCGUGCCUAACACAUGCAAGUCGAGCGAUUCUCUUCGGAGAAGAGCGGCGGACGGGUGCGUAACGCGUGGGUAACCUGCCCUGUACACACGGAUAACAUACCGAAAGGUAUGCUAAUACGAGAUAACAUGCUUUUAUCGCAUGGUAGAAGUAUCAAAGCUUUUGCGGUACAGGAUGGACCCGCGUCUGAUUAGCUAGUUGGUGAGGUAACGGCUCACCAAGGCGACGAUCAGUAGCCGACCUGAGAGGGUGAUCGGCCACAUUGGAACUGAGACACGGUCCAAACUCCUACGAGAGGCAGCAGUGGGGAAUAUUGCACAAUGGGCGAAAGCCUGAUGCAGCAACGCCGCGUGAGCGAUGAAGGCCUUCGGGUCGUAAAGCUCUGUCCUCAAGGAAGAUAAUGACGGUACUUGAGGAGGAAGCCCCGGCUAACUACGUG
rnacentral:rRNA from 1 species